CGGGGCGUAGCGCAGUUUGGCUAGCGCACCAGAAUGGGGUUCUGGGGGUCGCUGGUUCGAGUCCAGUCGCCCCGACCA
rnacentral:tRNA from 2 species